UUUGCAGCAACUCCAAUCGGCCCUGUUGUUUUCCUUGUGAUCACAUUCGGGAACUCGGCAGUGAUUAUAAGCUUGUGGCCAUGCCAUGUCGUUUGGACAUACUCCUGCAUUGCAAAGGUUGUUCUCAUGCUGAUGGUUAGGUGUUCUUUUGGCCCUCAUAUAGUGACACUUGCUGCCAACAAGAGAGGAAGACAAUGACUAAAACAAGUAGCUGUGUUCCAACCUAGGAUGUAACCUGAACUUCCCACCACAGCUAAACUGUAUGGGGAAAUCUGUCGGUGGUGACCCUUGUGGGGAGGAUUAGAAGGGAAUAUCAUGCUCUGGAACUUCAGUUCAAUCCAUGUAUUGUAACUAUUACUUUCUUUUUUAAUCCAAGGAGCCAUUUGGACAGCACACUCUCCUCUUUGUAAGUACCUUCUUUCUAAACAGAUCCACUAAUAUGUUAGUCUAUAAGAAUAUUAAGGAUAAAGAUAAUGAACCUGCAGUGUUGAAGUUUACCAAUCUCUUGUUCAUCUCAUUCUUUACCAAACUUGUAAGUUUGUUCUUGAUGAAUCCUGGCUUGUGCCCUACCAGGGAUCUUACAUUAAUUUAUGUGCCAAAUAAAUGUCCUAUGCUAGUAUUUGCCAUAUCCAUGUAUCAAUUUCACAUGUAACUUUUAACAUUUCAUGUGUUAGUGGUACCCCUGCAACUCAGUUUAAUGGUACUUACUGGUUGCCUUCAAUAUAGGUCAAUGAUACAGUUGGAACACUGGCUGGAAGUAGAUACUGCAAUAAUGAUGUUGUUGUUGCUGUAAUCUUGGGUACCAGAACAAAUGCUGCAUAUGUAGAGCGUGCACAUGCAAUUCCUAAGUGGCACGGUCUUCUACCUAGAUCAGGAGAGAUGGUGAGCUUUCUUAUUGUGGCUAUUGUUUUCUUUCUUUUGGAUUGUUUAUUAUUCUUGUUUUGAGGAAUAAAAGAGAGAACUCAAUAAUAAUAAAAAAAUGCCCAUAGGCCUGAAAAUACAAAAAAAAAAAAACAGGAAUUCUAGAGAAAAAUGCAUCACGGCAUGUAAGAUGAAUGUGAACCACAAGCUAUUUUGUUUCCCUGUUUCAUAAAUUUGUGCCCUAACUAAUGUAAUCACUUUAUAAGCGUAACAAAAAUGGAUGUUCUGACAGCACCUUUCUGAUCAUAUGUUCUAUCGGGUGAGUUCACUCUCCGUGCUUUUCUCAAUGGACGCUUAGAUCUUUCUCAAGCUGAAAAUGUUGAAAAACUCAUUUCAGCUAAAUCUAUUGCUGCUGCAGAUGCUGCAUUGGCAGGGAUCUAGGUUAUGGGGCAUAUCUGCUAUCACAUUCUAGCAACCGGUUUGAAUGGUUACAUGGCAACUGUAACCAACCUGAAAAAUCUGUCUCAUGUAGUUUUUCUAUUUGUAUUUUGAUUUUAAGAAGUUCUUAUCAUGGUCGUAAUUGCCAUUUUUAUUUAUACUUUAGGUAUAUCAACAUGAUGAUAAUAACAUGGAAAACAUGGGAAUUCAUGGAUUGUUGGCUACAUUGAAGGCUUUUGGGUAAGUAGUUUCAGACCUUUUUUGUACUGUUUUCUUGCUCAUCUAAGAAAAAUGAGGGCUGGUUGUAAAUGAUGUACAGGUUGUGUUUGAAUAAUAA